GGAAUGUUUGAAACUCAGGAGCAAAGUUGAAGCCUUAGAGAGAAAUACAAGGAACUUGGCGGGAAAUGAUCUUGAUUCAUUGAGCCUGAGAGAGCUUCAGAAUUUAGAGCAUCAGCUUGAAGCAUCUUUAAAGCGUAUCAGAGUAAAAAAGAACAAUAAUAUGAAAGAAUCCAUCUCGUUGCUGCAUAAAAAGGCAAAGGCGUUGCAGGAACGCAAAAGCACGAUAACAAAAGAGAUUAAAGAUAAGGAGAAGACAGUGGUGGUUGAAGGUCCAGAGUGCUGGGUAGAACAAACCCUAAUGCAAUCUCCCCAAAGACCACUUCCUGCUUUAACACUCGG